rnacentral:sRNA from 1 species
GUUAAAGGUUCGAGCCGAGCGAAGCGAGACAGCAACGCGUUAGCGUUGACCCGAAGGGCGAGUCCGCAGGACGAGUAAUCCCGCACGACUGGCAC